AGGCAACCUCUUGGCUCAAUAUACAAUAGCUAAGAAGGUGUUUAGCUGCUCGUAAAUUAAUGUCUUUUGCUCUUCAGAUUUGCUGAUUUUUUUAUAUGAAGCUGGUCUAGUAAGCUCAAGUACAUU